UACAUAGGUGGCAAGCGUUAUCCGGAUUUAUUGGGCGUAAAGGGUGCGUAGACGGUUUUGUAAGUCUGAGGUUAAAUAUGAGAGCUCAACUCUCAUCCGCCUUGGAAACUGCAAGACUAGAGUGUAGGAGAGGCUAGUGGAAUUCCAUGCGUAGCGGUGGAAUGUGUAGAUAUAUGGAGGAACACCAGUGGCGAAGGCGGCUAGCUGGCCUAUUACUGACGUUGAUGCACGAAAGCGUGGGAGCAAAUAGG
rnacentral:misc_RNA from 1 species